rnacentral:rRNA from 1 species
UACGGAGGAUCCAAGCGUUAUCCGGAUUUAUUGGGUUUAAAGGGUGCGUAGGUGGCCUGUUAAGUCAGGGGUGAAAGCCGGUAGCUCAACUAUAGCAGUGCCCUUGAUACUGAUGGGCUUGAAUGAACUAGAGGUAGGCGGAAUGUGACAAGUAGCGGUGAAAUGCAUAGAUAUGUCACAGAACACCAAUUGCGAAGGCAGCUUACUAUGGUUUGAUUGACACUGAGGCACGAAAGCGUGGGGAUCAAACAGG